AACGAAGGGGGCUAGCGUUUUUCGGAAUUACUGGGCGUAAAGCGCACGCAGGCGGAUUGAUAAGUCAGGGGUGAAAUCCCGGGGCUUAACCUCGGAAUUGCCUUUGAUACUGUCUGUCUUGAGUCCGGGAGAGGUGAGUGGAAUUCCUAGUGUAGAGGUGAAAUUCGUAGAUAUUAGGAAGAACACCAGUGGCGAAGGCGGCUCACUGGCCCGGAACUGACGCUCAUGUGCGAAAGCGUGGGGGGCAAACAGU
rnacentral:rRNA from 1 species